UACGUAGGGUGCAAGCGUUAAUCGGAAUUACUGGGCGUAAAGCGUGCGCAGGCGGCUUUGCAAGACAGAUGUGAAAUCCCCGGGCUUAACCUGGGAACUGCAUUUGUGACUGCAUGGCUGGAGUGCGGCAGAGGGGAUGGAAUUCCGCGUGUAGCAGUGAAAUGCGUAGAUAUGCGGAGGAACACCGAUGGCGAAGGCGGCAUCCUGGACCAACACUGACGCUGAGGAGCGAAAGCCAGGGGAGCAAACGGG
rnacentral:rRNA from 1 species